AGAGGAGCCUGAUGGGCAGCAGUCCAUGAGGUGGCUGAGUCGCACACGACUGACGCUCCAGUGGUUAGGACUCGGUGCUGUCACUGCUGUGGCCCAAGUUCAAUCCCUGGUUGAGAAACUAAGGUCCUGUAAGCUGUGCAGCAUGGGAGGACAACAGAAACCAAAGCAAAAGAACUGGAGUGCCACAGUGGGACAUCAGUGGACCUCAGGGAUACUGUCCUGCAAUAUUUAUAUAAGACUGUGUCUGCAUUUAUCUGGGAGAGGAGCUAUUAAGAAUUCAACCAACCUUGCUUAAAAAAGGCUAAGAACUAGUAUGUUAAAUUCUGUAUUUGUUUUUUUUAACAGAGAUUGGCUGGAGGGAAAACAUUCUGGCUGGGAUCAUUCUUAAAUUCAUGUUCAGAUGGCUACUCAAAAAUCCAAACCUCCAUACGGAGCCCACACUGCAUAUUGGACACUGCUGCUCUAAUGUCUUGAUGGCCUAUCUUCCCACUGACCAGACUGUCCCUACAAGGUCACUGCUGCUCUUCAUCUUGGCUUCGGCCCAAGGAUGGAGGCUCUCCUUGGGGCUGGUCCUGUGCAGCUAAAGGCAAAGCAGAACUUCAGACUGUACUCCUCAGCAGGUAACAGACUUUUUGAUAUUCACAAGGACAAAGAUAAAACUAAGCUGAAAAUUCCAGAGAAAGCAAGUGUCCUAAGAGGACAAAUUUACAAAUACAGCUCUGGAAUUUAGCCAAGAGGCAGAGGGAUGAAGGCAAGGCAGGAGGCGCUGCUGUGUCCCCGCACCUGCCAGCCUGGCUGUCUCACCUGCUGGAGAAAAGAAAUGAAGUGUCUGUGCCCCAGCACUUCACGGAGGCAGCUGCAGCCUCUUCCACUUGGCUCUAAAUACCUCCAUUCCCUCCCUUCAUUAUAAAAUGAACUAAACCACAUUACAGAAAGUUUAGAAAAUAAAUAAGGAAACUGUUAUUCUGUACUUUAUUGCAAUCA